GGAGCACUCCCAGGUCCUCCAGGCCAUGAGUGCGGCCCUGAUGUCUCUACUGCAGCCACAGACUGAGAGUGCAUAGGAGUGUCC
rnacentral:miRNA from 1 species